rnacentral:tRNA from 1 species
GCUUCCUUAGCUCAGCGGGAUAGAGCAGCGGAUUUCUAAUCCGUUGGUCGGAGGUUCGACCCCUCCAGGAAGCGCCA